rnacentral:lncRNA from 1 species
UUUAUCAAAAAAGGAGCAAAAUAACUUACGAAGUGGUGCGCUGUUGUAGCUCCCUCGUGUGCUAUGUGGCUCGACCACGAAGUGGUGCGCCCGUUGUAGCUCGCUCGUGUGCUAUGUGGCUCGACCACAGUGGUGCUAAGUUCUUGCAGAAGCACCGAAGACCGGGAGGAGGAGAGGCUGCCAAGCAUGGCCUACCGCCAAGUAAAUAUCAUUUAUUUAUGGAGAAGAGGGUAUUACAUAUGAUUUUCUAUGAGGCAGUUCAGUUUAUUGGACGGAAAAACAUACCCUGGACAAUAUGUUGUAUGGAGAACACAUCCCAAUCCUUGAUGAGAAUACAUUGUUUG